rnacentral:rRNA from 1 species
AGAGUUUGAUCCUGGCUCAGGACGAACGCUGGCGGCGUGCUUAACACAUGCAAGUCGAACGGUGAAGGAGGAGCUUGCUCCUCCGGAUCAGUGGCGAACGGGUGAGUAACACGUGAGCAAUCUGCCCCUGACUCUGGGAUAACCUCGGGAAACCGAAGCUAAUACCGGAUACGAAGCGCGAAGGCAUCUUCAGCGCUUGGAAAGAAUUUCGGUCAGGGAUGAGCUCGCGGCCUAUCAGUUAGUUGGUGAGGUAACGGCUCACCAAGACGACGACGGGUAGCCGGCCUGAGAGGGUGACCGGCCACACUGGGACUGAGACACGGCCCAGACUCCUACGGGAGGCAGCAGUGGGGAAUAUUGCACAAUGGGCGCAAGCCUGAUGCAGCAACGCCGCGUGAGGGAUGACGGCCUUCGGGUUGUAAACCUCUUUUAGCAGGGAAGAAGCGAAAGUGACGGUACCUGCAGAAAAAGCACCGGCUAACUACGUGCCAGCAGCCGCGGUAAUACGUAGGGUGCAAGCGUUGUCCGGAAUUAUUGGGCGUAAAGAGCUCGUAGGCGGUUUGUCGCGUCUGCUGUGAAAACGCGAGGCUCAACCUCGCGCCUGCAGUGGGUACGGGCAAACUAGAGUGCGGUAGGGGGAGAUUGGAAUUCCUGGUGUAGCGGUGGAAUGCGCAGAUAUCAGGAGGAACACCGAUGGCGAAGGCAGAUCUCUGGGCCGUAACUGACGCUGAGGAGCGAAAGCGUGGGGAGCGAACAGGAUUAGAUACCCUAGUAGUCC